rnacentral:rRNA from 1 species
AUUGAACGCUGGCGGCAGGCCUAACACAUGCAAGUCGAGCGGCAGCGGGAAAGUAGCUUGCUACUUUUGCCGGCGAGCGGCGGACGGGUGAGUAAUGCCUGGGAAAUUGCCCAGUCGAGGGGGAUAACAGUUGGAAACGACUGCUAAUACCGCAUACGCCCUACGGGGGAAAGCAGGGGACCUUCGGGCCUUGCGCGAUUGGAUAUGCCCAGGUGGGAUUAGCUUGUUGGUGAGGUAAUGGCUCACCAAGGCGACGAUCCCUAGCUGGUCUGAGAGGAUGAUCAGCCACACUGGAACUGAGACACGGUCCAGACUCCUACGGGAGGCAGCAGUGGGGAAUAUUGCACAAUGGGGGAAACCCUGAUGCAGCCAUGCCGCGUGUGUGAAGAAGGCCUUCGGGUUGUAAAGCACUUUCAGCGAGGAGGAAAGGUUGAURCCUAAUACGURUCAGCUGUGACGUUACUCGCAGAAGAAGCACCGGCUAA